GUGAUUGUAGCUCAGUUGGUUAGAGCGCCAGUUUGUGGCUCUGGAGGCCGCCGGUUCGAAUCCGGUCUUUCACCCCA
rnacentral:tRNA from 1 species